GGGGUAACAGGUAGCUUGCUACGCUGACGACCGGCGCACGGGUGCGUAACGCGUAUAGAACCUACCUUAUAGUAAGGGAUAGCCCAGAGAAAUUUGGAUUAAUACCUUAUAGUAUCAUUUGAAUGCAUGUUUAGAUGAUUAAAGAUUUAUUGCUAUAAGAUGGCUAUGCGUUCUAUUAGCUAGUUGGUAUGGUAACGGCAUACCAAGGCUACGAUAGAUAGGGGUCCUGAGAGGGAGAUCCCCCACACUGGUACUGAGACACGGACCAGACUCCUACGGGAGGCAGCAGUGAGGAAUAUUGGACAAUGGAGGCAACUCUGAUCCAGCCAUGCCGCGUGUAGGAAGACUGCCCUAUGGGUUGUAAACUACUUUUAUAGAGGAAGAAACCCCUGUAUGUAUACAGGUUUGACGGUACUCUACGAAUAAGGAUCGGCUAACUCCGUGCCAGCAGCCGCGGUAAUACGGAGGAUCCAAGCGUUAUCCGGAAUCAUUGGGUUUAAAGGGUCCGUAGGCGGGUUUGUAAGUCAGUGGUGAAAGUUUUCGGCUCAACCGGAAAAUUGCCAUUGAUACUGCAAGUCUUGAAUUAUUGUGAAGUGGUUAGAAUGUGUAGUGUAGCGGUGAAAUGCAUAGAUAUUACACAGAAUACCGAUUGCGAAGGCAGAUCACUAACAAUUAAUUGACGCUAAGGGACGAAAGCGUGGGUAGCGAACAGGAUUAGAU
rnacentral:rRNA from 1 species